rnacentral:rRNA from 1 species
AGCGAACGCUGGCGGCAGGCCUAACACAAGCAAGUCGAACGGUUCCUUCGGGAUUAGUGGCGGACGGGUGAGUAACACGUGGGAACGUGCCCUUUGGUUCGGAACAACUCAGGGAAACUUGAGCUAAUACCGGAUGUGCCCUUCGGGGGAAAGAUUUAUCGCCAUUGGAGCGGCCCGCGUCUGAUUAGCUAGUUGGUGAGGUAAAGGCUCACCAAGGCGACGAUCAGUAGCUGGUCUGAGAGGAUGAUCAGCCACAUUGGGACUGAGACACGGCCCAAACUCCUACGGGAGGCAGCAGUGGGGAAUCUUGCGCAAUGGGCGAAAGCCUGACGCAGCCAUGCCGCGUGAAUGAUGAAGGUCUUAGGAUUGUAAAAUUCUUUCACCGGGGACGAUAAUGACGGUACCCGGAGAAGAAGCCCCGGCUAACUUCGUGCCAGCAGCCGCCGUAACAC